rnacentral:tRNA from 1 species
GAGGGUAUAGCUCAGUGGUAGAGCGCAUGCCUAACACGCACAAGGUCCUGGGUUCAAUCCUCAGUACUUCCA